rnacentral:tRNA from 1 species
GUAGUGGUGGUUAAGUGGUAGAAUUCUCACAUUCCAUAUGGGAGGCCUAAGUUCAAUUCCCAGCCAAUGCA